UUCAACAGGGGUGAAAUCUGUAUACACCACGAAUUUUUUGAUUAAAGUACCUUUUAGGUGGUCAAAUGACUAGGAUUAGAUACCCUAUUAGUCCACCCUUAAUUAACCUGGGUAGUAGUAUCGAAACCUAAAGAAUUUGGCGGUUUCUAAACCUACUAGAGGAACCUGCCCCAUAAACGACAAUCCACGAAAAAAUUCACCCGGGCUAGUUAUGCAGCUUAUAUACCGUCGUUCAGAGGACUAAAUAAAUAGAUCUUCUUAAAAGCUUAGGCUAAUAAAUCAGAUCAAGGUGUAGCUUAUGCCCGGGAGAGGGUGGGUUACAAUGAAAAUUCAUACGGAACUUCUAUUUUAUGAUAGAAAAGAAGGUGGAUUUAGAAGUAAGACUUAAUAUACUGAAAAAGGCUCUCAGAAAUGUACAC
rnacentral:rRNA from 1 species